UUAUUUCAGAUGCAGAGCAGAUAAGAAGAGUUUUGUGAGGACGGAAUCCUGCAUCUGGAAGCCGGUGGACUGGACGGUAGCUGACGUCAGCAGUUAUUUCACGUUAUUUCAUGUUAUUUCAUAUUUAUCCCAAACCUUGUUUAUUUUGUGUUCUGUUAUUCUGUAUAUUCUGAUUGUUCUUUGUAUAUAAUUUUUUUUUUAUAUUAACAUUUAAUAUUAAUUUAUAUUUGUUAAAGUUCUAAGAUUGAUCUGUUGUUUUAAAUAAACCUUUGAACCCUC